UGGGCCUCAAACUUCUGAUCUCAGGUGAUCCACCCACCUCAGCCUCCCAAAGUGCUGGGAUUACAGGUAUGAGCCGCCUCGCCCGGCCUGGAGAGAUGUGCAUAGAGGAUUUCCACAAAGGGUUUUUGGAGGCAGUUCAUUGGCUGGGGAGAAAUCCUAAAUGAAGCCCUUUCUGGUGGGUUAGUGCUUCAGGGCCCUCCCAGCUGGGAGAUGUGAAGGCCGUCAGGGGCUGACUUCAGCUGCUGGUCCAGGUCUACGGGCAUCCUGUGGCCUGGCCGUCGGCGUGUGAAUGCAGGCCUCCCGCGGCCUCCCUUCCACUUAGAAAGCCUUCGCAUUGGUGACUUCGUUUUCUUUCACAUUUCCCCCUUUUGAUCGAGUUCUUCCUCCAGAAAGUCACAGAUCAGUUGGUGAAUGUGAUGUUGUCCCUUGUUGCCGGGAGGCACUUGUCCCAGGGAGUCAUGUCCCUCAUUGCGGACGUGACCUCAGUCAAGCUCUAGUGUCACCUGCUUCACCUUCGGGUCAGUUUUCAUUUCAGGGGAUUGUCUGAAUUCCAGCAGGGGGUAGAGGUUUCUUUAAAUGAGAAACCUGAAUCCAAGGGCCGACACCUUUUAGUUUGACAGCACAGGGAUUGGUAAGGAGUACCUGACGCGGACUCUUCACUGAGGUUGAAGGAAAUCUUUCUGUAAAUGUCUUUUCCAGUAGAGAAAAAGAUCAGGCUGAAGGUCGUGCUGUCUGGUGCCUUUAUCUCCUGGGAACACACCGUGUAAAGACUGUCUGACCAGGGUAUGACUUGUGUGAACCGCCUUCAUUAUUCCUUUACAGUAUUGAAGCAUGUCUCCUUUAAUACACGGACUGUUCAGAGCAGAAGGGACUCUGCGCAUUGACCCUGCCGUGAUCAUUUCAAAAGGUGACAACUUGCAGUUUCCGAAAGGACUGGGAUGGUAGGCACAAUGCCAGCGCUGUAAUGUGGACCAGACUUCACAGAUUGGUUUUACGACCUGGCCAGUGGAGUUCCUUGCCGCUGCGUGUGAAGAUGUGCCCGUCACGUAGGGAGAAUCUGCUCUAGUCGAGUGUGCGGCGUCUGAGGCAGUGGCACAUCAGGAAGGGAACGCUUCCACCCAGGAGGAGAACAUGCAAAUCAUCACGACGUAUUUAUAGUCUCGGGAGGCAGUGGCUGGAUGAAGUCCAUUCGCCAGACCUCAGAGGGCCUGCUGGGCAGGUCAGAACGGCCUGGGACUGUCUGAAGUGUCUUCGCUGGGUUGAAUUUUGGGCAAACAGCACAAGGCAGUUGUGCCUCUUUGGCCGUCCUUGAAAUGUUUCUCCCCCAGUACUGUUUUGUAAACGUGUAAGUUCAUUAGUUGCCCAAUGAGUCGUCCUGAUGUUUUCAUAGAUUCUGGUAACACCGACUCAUGGGUGCUUGGGACAGGGCGUCUUUAAUAACAUGACUUACGUCCUUUUUUGGAAAAUUA